CUGCUUCCUAGGGAGGGAGGCUGGGGCGGCAAGGCGGGCGCGGGUGGUCCUUGCCCCGCGCCAGCUCGCCAGGCCACGUCGCUGGCGUUUUUCCAGCGCUGGGUCACCUGCGGGCCGGCGGGUUCCCGCGGCGAACAGCUGGGUGGUAUGGAUACGCCGCUCGAGCCUCCGCAGCGUCAGGUCGCCAGGGUCCGCCCUGCCACUCGCCCCACCUUGAGCUACCUCUGAAGAAAAGAUGAUGGCCCGGUGCGGUGGCUCACGCCUGUAAUCCCAGCACUUUGGGAGGCCGAGUCAGGCGGAUCACCUGAGGAAGAAGACGUAUAAGCCUUUAAGCUUAGUAAACCUUUGGGUUCUGUGCAUUUGGCCAUCAUUCCAGUUGUCAGCAUUGUGCAGGACAGGUACUUGAGGUCUGUUUUUGUGAACCAGGGACCCGAGGCACAGAGCAAGUAAGUGGAUAGAAACAAAUGCUGUAAGAACAAAUAAUUGUAUUUAAAAAUUUAUGAUUUUCAUUUAUUUUUCAGAGGAAGCAUUAAUGAGUAGGUAGUAAUUUCUGGGUAUUAAAAAACCAUCAGAGACAUUUCUUUUUCCUUAUAAAAGAAGUCAUAACAGUGAACAUUUAUAGCACUUAGCUUACUAAGGGUUUCACGUCCUAUAAUCCCCAGCACUUUAGCAGGCUGAGAGGGGAGGACUGCUUGAGGCCAGGAGUUCAAGACCAGCCUGGGUAACAUAGCAAGACCCUGUCUCUAUUUAGAAAAAUAAUAAAAACAAAGGGUUUCACAUGUAUUUUAGAAAUUAGACCUUCCGAAGUUGUGAGAUUUGUAAUAAUGUUCAUUUUAGAGACUAGAAAACUAAGCCUCAUGAAGGCCAUGUGACUUGUCCACCAUUGCACCAGUGCUGAGUGGCAGAUCUCUGGUCUGGAAGCCACGUUCUUCUCACUAUACCAUGUUGCCAUUUUUCAGCAACUGGUGCACGAUGCAUAUUCUCCAAGACAGAAGGGAAGGAGGCUUGAUUAAUUGUGGCUCAGCCUUUCCUCAUAGUUUUGGGGCUGUAAGACCUGUGCAUUGUAAGUGAACCAUAAGGUCUGUUUGCCUCAGAGCAGGUUAGUUCACACCGUGCUGCUGCUGCUUUUAAGCAAUGCAGGAUGAACGGAGCUUGGGAGCAAUUUUCUCUCACUCCCAUGGUGGCAUCUCUUCAGUUCACUUUCUUUGUACUGCUCCUCUUAGGUUUAUGGCCGUGCAGUUGUCAGUGCUCCUGUCAGUCUUUCCAACCUUCCCUCUAAAUUCCUGGCACCAGCAGUUGGCCUAGAACAUGCUGAUCUUCAGCACCCUGACAGAAAAGGCUGCUAUCACAGUGGAAAGUGUGGCUUCCUGGGCUGCCUCUUGGCAAAGGGCUCUAGCUUGUCCAGAUUUGGGUCAGCCCCAGGGUCUAUCAGUUCCAGGAGAGGUGUUGAAGGGCUGUGACAAAUGCCUGCCCUGGCAGAUGGAGGAAGCUCUGGCUAGCUUGAGAGCGCAGUGUAAUAACAGCUGCCCUGAGAAGGGACUUCCAGCCAUUCUUGUGCUCUGAGAUUGUGUCCGGAAUUGGUGGGUUCUUGGUCUCACUGACUUCAAGAAUGAAGCCGCAGACACUUGCGGUGAGUAUUACAGUUCUUAAAGGCAGCGUGUCCGGAGUUUGCUCCUUCUGAUGUUCAGAUGUGUUCGAAGUCUCUUCCUUCUGGUAGGUUCGUGGUCUCACUGGCUCAGAAGUGAAGCUGCAGACCUUCACGGUGAGUGUUACAGCUCUUAAGGUGGCGCAUCUGGAGUUGUUCGUUCCUCCUGGUGGGCUCGUGAUCUUGCUGGCUUCAGGAGUGAAGCUGCAGACCUUCGCGGUGAGUGUUACAGGUCAAAAAAAGCAGUGUGGACCCAAAGAGUAAGCAGCAGCAAGAUUUAUUGCAAAGAGCGAAAGAACAAAGCUUCCCCCGCGUGGAAGAGGACCCAAGCGGGUUGCCACUGCAGAGUUUGGGCAGCCUGCUUUUAUUCUCUUAUCUGGCCCCACCCACAUCCUGCUGAUUGGUAGAGCUGAGUGGUCUGUUUUUACAGGGCGCUGAUUGGUGCAUUUACAAUCCCUGAGCUAGACACAAAGGUUCUCCACCUCCCCACCAGAUUAGCUAGAUACAGAGUGUCAACACAAAGGUUCUCCAAGUACCCACCAGAGUAGCUAGAUACAGAGUGUUGAUUGGUGCAUUCACAAACCCUGAGCUAGACACAGGGUGCUGAUUGGUGUGUUCACAAACCUUGAGCUAGAUACAGAGUGUGGAUUGGUGUAUUUACAAUCCCUGAGCUAGACAUAAAGGUACUCCAAGACCCCACCAGAGUAGCUAGAUACAGAGUGUCGAUUGGUGCCUUCACAAACCCUGAGCUAGACACAGGGUGCUGAUUGGUGUAUUUACAAUCCCUUAGCUAGACAUAAAGGUUCUCCAUGUCCCCACCAGACUCAGGAGCCCAGCUGGCUUCACCCAGUGGAUCCCGCACUGGGGGGGCAGGUGGAGCUGCCUGCCAGUCCCAGUGCGUGCGUGCGCCCGCACUCCUCAGCCCUUGGGUGGUCGAUGGGACUGGGCGCCGUGGAGCAGGGGGUGGCACUUGUCGGGGAGGCUCGGGCCGUACAGGAGCCCAUGGAGGGGGUGGGAGGCUCAGGCAUGGCGGGUUGCAGGUUCCGAGCCCUGCCCCGCGGGAAGGCAGCUAAGGCCCGGUGAGAAAUCGAGCCCAGCGCCGGUGGGCUGGCACUGCUGAGGGACCCAGUACACCCUCUGCAGCCGCUGGCCCGGGUGCUAAGCCCCUCAUUGCCCGGGGUCGGCAGGGCCGGCCGGCUGCUCCGAGUGCGGGGCCUGCCAAGUCCACGCCCACCCGGAACUCCAGCUGGCCCGCAAGCGCCACGCGCAGCCCGGGUUCCCGCUCGGGCCUCUCCCUCCACACCUCCCUGCAAGCUGAGGGAGCCGGCUCUGGCCUUGGCCAGCCCAGAAAGGGGCUCCCACAGUGCAGCGCUGGGCUGAAGGACUCCUCAAGUGCCGCCAAAGUGGGAGCCCAGGCAGAGGAGGCGCCGAGAGCGAGCGAGGGCUGUGAGGACUGCCAGCACGCUGUCACCUCUCAAGCUGACAUCGGCAGCUGUGAGGACCCACCUGUU
rnacentral:lncRNA from 1 species